GUAGGAAGAUUAGAAUACAAGCACUAACCUUAACACUCUUGUGUAACAAACAUGGGCAGCAACAGCAAGGCGCUGUUCACCAUACUUCUCUUUCUCUUCUUAAUUUCAACUCAGGCCAUCCUACCUUCAACGCCGAGAAAGAUCAUGGAGACAAAUGGAUUUAGGAGUAAUGACAAAAUAUAUGCGGCAAAAGAAAUAGGGACGGACCGCAGAAUCGCCUAUGAGACCCCUCUGCCGCCUGCGCCAGGUGCACUUCGGCCGUGAUUCGUGACCGUGAAACCAAUUCAUAGAAGUUGAUUAACAUCUGCUUCUAAAGCUGAUCGACAAUGAUACCUGAAUAAAUUAAAGUACUUAUGAUACGAUUGUAAUAUUACGCGGACAAAACCUUUUAUUCCAUAAAUGUUUGCCACUGAAAGAGAUGUAUCAUUUACUGAAUGAAAUUAAAUAACUAUUUCAAGGUA